rnacentral:rRNA from 1 species
CGCCGGCGACCGGCGCACGGGUGAGUAACACGUAUGCGACCUGCCCCCGCAGGGGGAUAACCGGGAGAAAUCCCGACUAAUACCGCGUAACGCCGCGGACCUGCAUGGGUCUGCGGCCAAAGGAAGCGAUUCCGGCGGGGAUGGGCAUGCGGCGCAUUAGCUAGUCGGCGGGGUAACGGCCCACCGAGGCGACGAUGCGUAGGGGUUCUGAGAGGAAGGUCCCCCACACUGGUACUGAGACACGGACCAGACUCCUACGGGAGGCAGCAG